rnacentral:rRNA from 1 species
AAACCAGCACCUCAAGUGGUCAGGAUGAUUAUUGGGCCUAAAGCAUCCGUAGCCGGCUCUGUAAGUUUUCGGUUAAAUCUGUACGCUUAACGUACAGGCUGCCGGAAAUACUGCAGAGCUAGGGAGUGGGAGAGGUAGACGGUACUCGGGAGGAAGUGGUAAAAUGCUUUGAUCUAUUGAUGACCACCAGUGGCGAAGGCGGCCUACCAGAACACGUUCGACGGUGAGGGAUGAAAGCUGGGGGAGCAAACCGGAUUAGAUACCCGAGUAGUCC